rnacentral:rRNA from 1 species
GCCUACGGGGGGCAGCAGUAGGGAAUCUUCCACAAUGGGCGAAAGCCUGAUGGAGCAACGCCGCGUGGGUGAAGAAGGUCUUCGGAUCGUAAAACCCUGUUGUUAGAGAAGAAAGUGCGUGAGAGUAACUGUUCACGUUUCGACGGUAUCUAACCAGAAAGCCGCGGCUAACUACGUGCCAGCAGCCGCGGUAAUACGUAGGUGGCAAGCGUUAUCCGGAUUUAUUGGGCGUAAAGGGAACGCAGGCGGUCUUUUAAGUCUGAUGUGAAAGCCUUCGGCUUAACUGGAGUAGUGCAUUGGAAACU